UUGGGUUUAAAGUGAGCGUAGGUGGCUUGAUAAGUCAGAUGUGAAAUCCCCGGGCUUAACCUGGGGAACUGCAUCUGAUACUGUUAGGCUAGAAUAGGUGAGAGGAAGGUAGAAUUCCAGGUGUAGCGGUGAAAUGCGUAGAGAUCUGGAGGAAUACCGAUGGCGAAGGCAGCCUCCUGGCAUCAUACUGACACUGAGGUUCGAAAGCGUGGGUAGCAAACAGGAUUAGAUACCCUAGUA
rnacentral:rRNA from 1 species